AGGUCUUGACAUCCUUUGACCACUCUAGAGAUAGAGCUUCCCCUUCGGGGGCAAAGUGACAGGUGGUGCAUGGUUGUCGUCAGCUCGUGUCGUGAGAUGUUGGGUUAAGUCCCGCAACGAGCGCAACUCUUAUUGUUAGUUGCCAUCAUUUAGUUGGGCACUCUAGCAAGACUGCCGGUGACAAACCGGAGGAAGGUGGGGAUGACGUCAAAUCAUCAUGCCCCUUAUUGAACUG
rnacentral:rRNA from 1 species